CCUGAGAGAAGAACAAUGUAAUUAAUACGCAUUCUAAUCCCCAAUAAUGAGUCUGUCAGGGCUAAAGUCACUGAAGUCCAAAUGGCUCUGUACCAAACAGGGUAAAACCAUCCACUCACAGUCCCCUCCUGCCCUCAUCAUGCUAUUUACUAAAUCAGGGCAGCCUUGUGUCCCCCGCAGCCACCAACAAUAGUUGGCAGGUGAGGGCCACAUUUUUACAUACAAGGGGAGACCAAG